rnacentral:rRNA from 1 species
GAUGAACGCUGGCGGUAUGCUUAACACAUGCAAGUCGAACGGACUCUUCGGAGUUAGUGGCGGACGGGUGAGUAACGCGUGAGAAUCUGGCUUUGGGUUCGGGACAACCACUGGAAACGGUGGCUAAUACCGGAUGUGCCGAGAGGUAAAAGAGAAAUUGCCUGAAGAUGAGCUCGCGUCUGAUUAGCUAGUUGGUGAGGUAAAGGCUCUCCAAGGCAGCGAUCAGUAGCUGGUCUGAGAGGAUGACCAGCCACACUGGGACUGAGACACGGCCCAGACUCCUACGGGAGGCAGCAGUGGGGAAUUUUCCGCAAUGGGCGAAAGCCUGACGGAGCAAUACCGCGUGAGGGAAGAAGGCUCUUGGGUUGUAAACCUCUUUUCUUAGGGAAGAACAAAAUGACGGUACCUAAGGAAUCAGCAUCGGCUAACUCCGUG